GGGUGGAAAUCUUGUGCUCAUUCAGAGUUUAGGUGAGAAAACAGUUGAAGAGACGAUUCAGGAUCUCCAGGAGUGGAACAAAUUCUGGUUCCAAUGGUGUAGACCGUGGAGUUACGUUGACGUUAAUCACCAACGGAUUAUUUGGACUCGGUGGCUCGGGGUUCCACUCCAAGCAUGGAAUACAAGAUUCUUCAAUUUGGCAUCUGCACAAAUGGGUUUGCUUCUUAAAGUUGAUGACA
rnacentral:lncRNA from 1 species